CCUACGUGAGGCUGCAGUGGGGAAUAUUGGGCAAUGGGCGCAAGCCUGAUGCAGCAACGCCGCGUGAAGGAAGAAGGCUUUCGGGUUGUAAAGUUCUUUCGACAGGGAAGAGUAUAAGAAUGUAUCAGUAGAAUAAGCCACGGCUAAAUACGUGCCAGCAGCCGCGGUUAUACGGAGGUGGCAAGCGUUGUCCGGAUAUACUGGGUGUAAAGGGCGUGUAGACGGGUUAACAAGUCAGAUGUGAAAUCCUACGGCUUAACCGCAGAACUGCAUUUGAAACUGUUGAUCUUGAGUACUGGAGAGGCAGACGGAAUUCCUAGUGUAGCGGUGAAAUGCGUAGAUAUUAGGAGGAACACCAGUGGCGAAGGCGGUCUGCUGGACAGCAACUGACGGUGAGGCGCGAAAGCGUGGGGAGCAAACAGGAUUAGAUACCCGUGUAGUC
rnacentral:rRNA from 1 species